AGUCGAACGGAGAUUACAGGCGGAAGUUUUCGGAUGGAAGCUUGUAAACUUAGUGGCGGACGGGUGAGUAACACGUGAGCAACCUGCCUAUCAGAGGGGGAUAACGAUUGGAAACGAUCGCUAAUACCGCAUGACAUAGCGGAACCGCAUGGUUCUGUUAUCAAAGAUUUAUCGCUGAUAGAUGGGCUCGCGUCCGAUUAGAUAGUUGGUGGGGUAACGGCCUACCAAGUCGACGAUCGGUAGCCGGACUGAGAGGUCGAACGGCCACAUUGGGACUGAGACACGGCCCAGACUCCUACGGGAGGCAGCAGUGGGGGAUAUUGCACAAUGGGGGAAACCCUGAUGCAGCGACGCCGCGUGAGGGAAGACGGUCCUCUGGAUUGUAAACCUCUGUCUUCGGGGACGAAACGAGACGGUACCCGAGGAGGAAGCCACGGCUAACUACGUGCCAGCAGCCGCGGUAAUACGUAGGUGGCAAGCGUUGUCCGGAAUUACUGGGUGUAAAGGGAGCGUAGGCGGGCAGGCAAGUCAGGCGUGAAAUAUAUCGGCUCAACCGGUAACGGCGCUUGAAACUGCAGGUCUUGAGUGAAGUAGAGGUUGGCGGAAUUCCUAGUGUAGCGGUGAAAUGCGUAGAUAUUAGGAGGAACACCAGUGGCGAAGGCGGCCAACUGGGCUUUUACUGACGCUGAGGCUCGAAAGUGUGGGGAGCAAACAGGAUUAGAUACCCUGGUAGUCCACACCGUAAACGAUGAUUACUAGGUGUGGGGGGACUGACCCCUUCCGUGCCGGAGUUAACACAAUAAGUAAUCCACCUGGGGAGUACGGCCGCA
rnacentral:rRNA from 1 species